GACCCCAGGUCAGGCGGGACUACCCGCUGAGUUUAAGCAUAUCAAUAAGCGGAGGAAAAGAAACUUAUAAGGAUUCCCCUAGUAACGGCGA
rnacentral:rRNA from 1 species